CACACACACACACACACACACACACACACACACACACACGCGCACUGUAAUGAGGCUCUGCUCCCUCAACAGCAGGGGUGAACACACUUUGCUUCUCCUUCUUGCAGUUUCCUCCCUCCUCCUCCUCUCAUUUCAUUUCUUGGCGUCAUUUUAAUCCUUCCUCCUCGCUGAGAGGUGGUUAGAGGUGGUAGGAGGAGGGAAAAAAAGGAAAUACAGCCAGAAAAGACGCUCUCAUGCAUCCUUAUUUCAAACUCCACUUCUUCUUCUUCUUUCUCUCAUUUGUUUUUGCUUCUUUUUUCCUCCUCUGAGGUUUUUAUAGAGUCAGAAGUGAGAUGGGAUGUGGAAAUUCCUCACCGGCCAAUAACAACAGCAGCAGCAGCAGCAGCGCAGCAGGACGUGCUGAGUCGUCAUCCAAGGCAUCAGAGGAGUCUGUGCCAGAAGACGACAAAUGGCAGAACUAUGGAGGUGUGUAUGUGGGAUUUCCUGCAGACCUGAGUAACAUUCCUCAAAUACAGAUAGGAGCCCUGAGAGAGACUGAUGGGAACUCGUUGUCCCUCAGGAGGCCGUUGUGGGGGAACGGACUGUAAUUUUUAAUGAAGAGCCAGCUGACUCAUAUGACAGGAGGGACGAUAUUGAGCAAGAAGAAGAAGAAGAAGAAGAAGAAGAAGAAGAAGAAGAAGAAGAGGAAGAAGAAGAAGAAGAAGAAGAAGAAGAAGAAGAAGAAGAAGAAGAAGAAGAAGAAGAAGAAGAAGAAGAAGAAGAAGAAGAAGAAGAAGAAGAAGAAGAAGAGGUGUCGACCAACUGGUUUCAGACUUUAAUGCUGUAAUGGCAGCAGAUGUGGACCCUGACUCGGCCCUGUGAAUAAGGGAUGAAGGAGUUUCUAUGAGGGCGAGAAGAAGCUGGAGGUUUUAAUGAAAGCCACGGAUGAAUCCACUGGGAACACUUCAGUCGGCUCUUAAUAAGGAGCCAGCAGCAGGUGCUACAGUGAGCGUCUGUCAGCUGAUCGGCACAAAAUGGCAGUUCGCGAGGGUGAAGCUGUGCUGACGCUCUCCUUGCUGAGGUGUGAAACAGGUGACUUCGUUUGGCUUGUGUGUAAUUACAAAAAAACAACAACCCUGCAGACUCGUGGUCCUCCAGGACACAAACAGUAAGUGGCUCCUGCUGCGAGGUGAAGGAGUCGUCUCCUCCUCCGGGGCAAAGAAAAGACAGUCGUGAUGGAGAGUCUGCUGUCAUGUACACGUGAUGCCACAGCUUCUUGUCAUGCACAUGCUUAAAGGCUAAAGUCUCCAAAAAACAUGAGGACAGUGUCACGAUACUGACAUCCACACCACAUCUCAACGUCAUUUCAUCAUCUUUUUUAUAAUCCUGCCUUCUCAUGACAAUCCUCACCUGCUGCUCGACACACGACAUGUUUCAUUUAAGUUAUUGUGAGAAAAACACUGGAUGCAAAAAUUCACUUUUCAUGAGGCAGUACAGGACGUUUCUGCUCAAAUAAUGACACUAGAUUCCUCCGGCUUCACAGUGACGUGUUUACGCUCAUUUGCCUUUAAAAGUGAUUCAGGGUGGAGGAGAAUCACGGAUAAAGAUUUACAUAAAAUGUGGAAAUCAGAAGUUAGGAGUGUUUGAUGACUUCUGAGAGAACAAAAUCUUAAUGUUGAUGCAGGAUUGUGUACAUGUGUCGUUUGUCUUUCACUGAGAAGAAGGUCACAUCAACAAAAAACAGUAAGUCAAAAGGUUUUAUUGUCGUUAAAUGAUCUGCUUAUUGUCUAUACGUGGCGAUUCAACACUUUUCUCACUCAGGUGGAUUUAUAGUGCCUGUACAUGUUUGUUUGUUUUUAAAAUUUCUGUAUUGUCAAAGACUGCUUGAGGAAAGUAAAAUAUUUUCCCUCCCAAGUGCUGUUUUUAUGUUUCACCAGUUUUCACACAUCAACAGAUGCUUCUGUGUCAUUUUGGGCUAUUUUUAAAAAACAAAUACGUAACACAGAACUGCAGGAUUAAAUAAGGUUUCUGAUCAUUUGGGUAUCAGAAAGAACAGACGGAGAUUCAGGUCAUAGGUGAGGAAUUCAUUUAUAGUUUUUCAGAAUUAAAUCAAACAAAAGCUAAAGAUGUUGAGAGCCUGACUGAUAAAUCGGCCAGCUAAUGUUAGCAAAUCAGAUAUACAUUUAAUACAAACUGAUCAUCAGACACCAUAAUAUUGGUAUUGAUUCCUCUAUUUGCAUCAAACAUCUGGAAUACGUCAGGCUUUAAGAAUACAUAGCAAAGCAAGUGUUACAGGUGAAUAUCUUCCAGUUUACUCAUUCGUCAUAAAGUCGAAUAUUUGAGGUUUUCAUGAGUAUAAAGUCAAACUAAUCAGAAGAAACCACAAACUGUCAACAAAAAGGAAAUGUCAACAGUGAAGGUCACAGGUGUACUGAUAGAUGUAGGCCACAGGUGAGCUUAAAGUGCAUUGGAAUGAGUGUGUGUGUGUGUGUGUGUGCUGCUGUGCACACUGAGGUUUGUGUGGUUUGGAGGUUCGACUGAAGCUGAAGAGGAACGUUGUCACUUUGAAGGCAUUUGAGGUUUUCAUCAUA